CGUCGCAGGGCCCCGUCUUGUACGUUGCAGCCGCGAGCUGCCGCCCCGUCCCUCCAUCGUGGGGAUCGCUUGAAGAUUCACUGCUCCGUCAUUACGGAAUUCAGAGUCAUACACUGGCCUAGGAGUUGGACAAGAUCUGCUUCCUGAGCCUCACGGAUAAUAGCAAGCUGGUGCCAGGACAACAUCGUCCCAGCACCCUUAAUCCUCUAUGGUGGUGCAAGUGUCCGACUCCCAGCACGGACGCAAGGACAACAUCGUAGAAACCUCUGCUGCCGUCUGGAUGGCGCUCGGCCACGACACCAGCAUCAGCGAGGUAGUGGCACUGAUGGGAAUAUGUCACAGAACAAAUGACACUAAUUUUGCAUGGGGUGGAGCAAGUUUCAGUGCAAUAUUAAAUUAUUGGGUUCAGAAACCAUAAAGAUAGCACCAAUAUAAGAAUUAUAGGGUUGGGAUUAGCCGACUUAUUGGCUACCCUUUACUUCUAGCAUCACUGCAUCUGUCACCCGCAAUUUGUAUUCCGUGAAAAAGUAUUUUCUUGUAUUAUAGUCUUAGUAAUGUGGACAACAACAAAACCAUGUGGACAACUGGCAUUUGUGGUGGAAGAGAGGUACUGUGAAUU